AGAAUCAACGCUGGCGGCGUGCCUCAGACAUGCAAGUCGAACGCGAAAUCCCGAGCAAUCGGGAAAGUAGAGUGGCGCACGGGUGAGUAACACGUAGGUAAUCUACCUUUGGAUGGGGAAUAACAACCGGAAACGGUUGCUAAUACCGCAUAAUGCAGCGGCACCUAAUGGUGACAGUUGUUAAAGCGGGGGAUCGAAAGACCUCGCGUCUAAAGAGGAGCCUGGCGGCGGAUUAGCUAGUUGGUAAGGUAAUGGCUUACCAAGGCUACGA
rnacentral:rRNA from 1 species